GGCGGACGGGUGAGUAAUGCUUAGGAAUCUGCCUAUUAGUGGGGGACAACAUCUCGAAAGGGAUGCUAAUACCGCAUACGUCCUACGGGAGAAAGCAGGGGAUCUUCGGACCUUGCGCUAAUAGAUGAGCCUAAGUCGGAUUAGCUAGUUGGUGGGGUAAAGGCCUACCAAGGCGACGAUCUGUAGCGGGUCUGAGAGGAUGAUCCGCCACACUGGGACUGAGACACGGCCCAGACUCCUACGGGAGGCAGCAGUGGGGAAUAUUGGACAAUGGGGGGAACCCUGAUC
rnacentral:rRNA from 1 species